rnacentral:rRNA from 1 species
AUUGAACGCUGGCGGCAGGCCUAACACAUGCAAGUCGGACGGUAGCACAGAGGAGCUUGCUCCUCGGGUGACGAGUGGCGGACGGGUGAGUAAUGUCUGGGAAACUGCCCGAUGGAGGGGGAUAACUACUGGAAACGGUAGCUAAUACCGCAUAACGUCGCAAGACCAAAGUGGGGGACCCUCGGGCCUCACACCAUCGGAUGUGCCCAGAUGGGAUUAGCUGGUAGGCGGGGUAACGGCCCACCUAGGCGACGAUCCCCAGCUGGUCUGAGAGGAUGACCAGCCACACUGGAACUGAGACACGGUCCAGACUCCUACGGGAGGCAGCAGUGGGGAAGAUUGCACAAUGGGCGCAAGCCUGAUGCAGCCAUGCCGCGUGUAUGAAGAAGGCCUUCGGGUUGUAAAGUACUUUCAGCGGGGAGGAAGGUGCUGAGGUAAUAAGCUCAGCAAUUGACGUUACCCGCAGAAGAAGCACCGGCUAACUCCGUGCCAGCAGCCGCGGUAA